CCCUUAGAUGUUCUGGGCUGCACGCGCGCUACACUGAUGCGUUCAACGAGUUUAUGACCUUGCCCGAUAGGGUUGGGUAAUCUUUUUAAAUCGCAUCGUGAUGGGGAUAGAUUAUUGCAAUUAUUAAUCUUCAACGAGGAAUUCCUAGUAAACGCAAGUCAUCAACUUGCAUUGAUUACGUCCCUGCCCUUUGUACACACCGCCCGUCGCACCUACCGAUUGAAUGGUCCGGUGAAGCCUCCGGAUUGGCGCGCACCUCGGUGCCGCCGAGAAGUUGGCUAAACCUUACCAUUUAGAGGAAGGUGAANUCGUAACA
rnacentral:rRNA from 1 species